GACGAACGCUGGCGGCGUGCCUAAUACAUGCAAGUCGAACGCUUCUUUCCUCCCGAGUGCUUGCACUCAAUUGGAAAGAGGAGUGGCGGACGGGUGAGUAACACGUGGGUAACCUACCCAUCAGAGGGGGAUAACACUUGGAAACAGGUGCUAAUACCGCAUAACAGUUUAUGCCGCAUGGCAUAAGAGUGAAAGGCGCUUUCGGGUGUCGCUGAUGGAUGGACCCGCGGUGCAUUAGCUAGUUGGUGAGGUAACGGCUCACCAAGGCCACGAUGCAUAGCCGACCUGAGAGGGUGAUCGGCCACACUGGGACUGAGACACGGCCCAGACUCCUACGGGAGGCAGCAGUAGGGAAUCUUCGGCAAUGGACGAAAGUCUGACCGAGCAACGCCGCGUGAGUGAAGAAGGUUUUCGGAUCGUAAAACUCUGUUGUUAGAGAAGAACAAGGACGUUAGUAACGAACGUCCC
rnacentral:rRNA from 1 species